rnacentral:rRNA from 1 species
UGGGGAAUCUUGGACAAUGGGCGCAAGCCUGAUCCAGCCAUGCCGCGUGAGUGACGAAGGUCUUCGGAUUGUAAAGCUCUUUUGGCGGGGACGAUAAUGACGGUACCCGCAGAAUAAGCCCCGGCUAACUUCGUGCCAGCAGCCGCGGUAAUACGAAGGGGGCUAGCGUUGUUCGGAAUUACUGGGCGUAAAGCGCACGUAGGCGGAUCUAUAAGUCAGGGGUGAAAUCCCGGGGCUCAACCUCGGAACUGCCUUUGAUACUGUAGAUCUCGAGUCCGGAAGAGGUGAGUGGAAUUCCUAGUGUAGAGGUGAAAUUCGUAGAUAUCAAGAGGAACACCUGAGGUGAAGACGGGUUGCUGGGCUGACACUGACGCUGAGGCGCGAAAGCCAGGGGAGCAAACGGGAUUAGAUACCCCCGUAGUCCCUGAGCGGGCUGGCAAGGCGCAU